GCCAGUGUGGUGUAGUGGCUUGAGUGUUAGACUGAGACUCUGGAGAUCAGGGUUUGAUUCCCGGCUGGGCCA